AAAGUAAGCCACUAAUUCAGC
rnacentral:misc_RNA from 1 species